CGGGUCGGUGGGCAGCGGGCUGCCGGUGAUUGACCAGCUUCUCUCCCUGAUCUGUCAGCCUGCUGCCUUGGCGCCUCCCCUCUCCUCUAUAAAUGAACGAAGUCUAUUCAUUGCGUUCACAGCGCGCCUGCUGAAGUGAGAGGAACUGGAAGGCUUCGCGGGAUGUGUUGACAGACCAGUAUUUCGCCUCUCUUUGGUUCCCUCUCGGUCUUAGCUUGUGUUUUCAACGCUGCGGCGUUAUCUCAAACAGCUCCUGUUAGUGUUAUUAUUCUUUGAUUAUUUCGCUGCCUCUGUGUGAGCCGUCGGUUAUCUAAGAUGAAGGCUGUUACUCCAGUCCACCCCCAGGACUCCUCCUCCUCCUCCUCGUCCUCCUCCUCCUCCUCCUUCUCCUCCAGCGGCAGCAGCCAGCUCUCCCUGCACUAUCUGUCGAAGCAGAGCCUGAACAUCGCCCGGUGCAGGAUGGAAGAGGAGGACCUGUUCUGCCUGCAGUACGACAUGAACGACUGCUACAGCCGCCUGAAGCGCCUGGUGCCUACCAUUCCGCAGGAUAAGAAAGUGAGCAAAGUGGAGAUCCUCCAGCAUGUCAUAGACUACAUCCUGGACCUGCAGCUGGCCCUGGAGACGCACCCUUCCCUUCAGAAGCAGCAGCAGCAGCCACAGCGGACCUGCCCUCCAGCAGCCUCCAACCCGAACAGGACGCCGCUCACGGUGCUCAACAUUGACCACCAUCAGGAACAAACAGGGGGGAACGGGGCGUCUACUGUCAAAGCCUUAAAAAUAGAACAUCAAUAGUGAAAAAACCAGAGGACUCAGUUUUAUGCCGCUGAGACGUCGACGCUGCAUUUGGUGUGCAGGCAGUGCAGAGCCGCUCCAAAAGUCAGCAAAGCUUCGCCAGGGACUCACACCCAACUGGAGGCACAGUCACAAGGAGGAUUGCAAAAACCGCUGGGAGGAAUUAAACCCAAAUAAAAUCACUUUUUCAAAUCAGCUUUUUUCCUUCCUAAUGUUUUUUUUUUCUUUUUUUGGUAAUUAUUAUCAUUGUUUCUGAGGAAAAAAUAGACUUAUUCCUCCCUCCUACCGGCUGCUUUAAGUUGUCAAGUCCAUUUUUUUUGUUUUCAUGCUUUUUGUUCUUAGAGUGUGAAAGCAUCGAGUCCCCUCACAGAUGUUUUUUUUGUUGUUGUUGUCUUUGGAAACCAAUUUUCAGCAGCUAUGAAAACAGAAUUGUGCUUGAGCGACUCCAGUUUAAAGCUUUACUAAACUGCGAAUAAAAAAAAAAAAUCAUUGUAUAUGUUCUGCACAUCUAUUGUUUAAAAUAGAUGAUUUGUGUUUGAAUAGGGACGCUGUCCCUGGUAUCUUAAAAUGUUUGCUAUUGUAAAGAACAAUUCUGAUUCGAGACAAUUAAGCUUGUAAAUACAGAGACACAAAUGUUCUAUUAAGGUAUGUGAAAGGACUUAUAUGCUUAAAUAGACUAUUGUAAUUAUUAUAAGAUAUUUUUUAUUGAAAACCGUUGUUUUUUUUGCAGUUCUGUAAAUAUUGUGUUUCCACUUUAGUGAAUGACCGUGUCUAUGCUCUGCCACUAAUGUCCACACAUGAUGAUCUCAUUAAACUCUUUGCAGUGUUUGAAAUAGUUUGAAAUGUAGCAUGUCAGGCUCAUUGCAGAGAUGCUGAAUGUGCACUGAAGCAGCCCCUCUUUCUGAGUUGAUGCUUCCUCCUUUGGCUUUCUCCUGAAUUGUUCUCUUCUUUUUAGCUCUGACAGUGCUGAGUUGCUCUCAGAGAUAGAUCGGUGUCUUGAAAUUGUCUUGAUUUGAUUCUGUUAGGAUGGACACAUGUUAAAAAUGAAACCGAGGAGUACUUCUGUUAGGAAAAAUCUCCACGGCUCACUAUCCCUGCGUCUCUCCUUAGGAAGUAAAUGAUUUACUCUGGAAAAUCAUUAAACUUUGGUUAUGAAUUGGUGAAAUACUCUAACAAACAGGUGAUGUGUCUAUGGUGACCUGAAACGAUUGUUCUGCUGGAGUGUGGGCAGCUUUUAUCAGUGUAAAGGGGGGAGAAAAACUUUGAACUUUCAUGACAUUCAGCACUGAAUUUACCUCACCACCCUCCUGCCAGUGCACGAGGGCACUUGUACGUUAUGGUCUACUGCACUGUUGGACUUGACCACUGGCUUUGGGGGGAGUUGCCGAAACAAUUAAAAUUUCCCAGAAGAA